AUUGAACGCUGGCGGCAUGCUUUACACAUGCAAGUCGAACGGUAACAGGCCGCAAGGUGCUGACGAGUGGCGAACGGGUGAGUAAUGCAUCGGAACGUGCCCAGUCGUGGGGUAUAACUACUCGAAAGAGUAGCUAAUACCGCAUACGAUCUAUGGAUGAAAGCGGGGGACCGUAAGGCCUCGCGCGAUUGGAUCGGCCCAUGUCAGAUUAGUUAGUUGGUGGGGUAAAGGCUCACCAAGCCAACGAUCUUUAGCUGGUCUGAGAGGACGACCAGCCACACUGGGACUGAGACACGGCCAAGACUCCUACGGGAGGCAGCAGUGGGGAAUUUUGGACAAUGGGCGAAAGCCUGAUCCAGCAAUGCCGCGUGCAGGAAGAAGGCCUUCGGGUUGUAAACUGCUUUUGUACGGAACGAAACGGCUCUGGUUAAUACCCGGGGCUAAUGACGGUACCGUAAGAAUAAGCACCGGCUAACUACGUG
rnacentral:rRNA from 1 species